rnacentral:misc_RNA from 1 species
GAUGAAGAACGUAGCGAAAUGCGAUAAGUAAUGCGAAUUGCAGAAUUCCGUGAGUCAUCGAAUCUUUGAACGCACAUUGCGCCCUCUGGUAUUCCGGAGGGCAUGCCUGUCUGAGCGUCAUUGUCAACCCUCAAGCUCAACUUGCUGUUGGGUCCCCGUCGUUGCUUUAACGGCGGACCCGAAAGGUAAUGGCAGAGUCCGUGAGACCCUAGACGCAGCGAGCUUCUAGCACGCGUCUGGACGUUUUUCGGGCUCGGUCUUAACUAGAUGAUAACUUCCGAUUGACCUCAGAUCAGGUAGGGAUACCCGCUGAACUUAAGCAUAUCAAUAAGCGGAGGA